GUGAGUAGAGUGGCGCACGGGUGAGUAACACGUAGGUAAUCUACCCUCUGGCGGGGGACAACAUCUCGAAAGGGAUGCUAAUACCGCAUAAGACCACGACCUCCUCGGAGGAUGUGGGAAAAGGUGGCCUCUUCUUGAAAGCUAUCACCUGAGGAUGAGCCUGCGUCCCAUCAGCUAGUUGGUAAGGUAACGGCUUACCAAGGCGAAGACGGGUAGCUGGUCUGAGAGGAUGAUCAGCCACACUGGCACUGGAACACGGGCCAGACUCCUACGGGAGGCAGCAGUGAGGAAUAUUGGGCAAUGGGCGCAAGCCUGACCCAGCCACGCCGCGUGAGUGAUGAAGGCCCUAGGGUCGUAAAGCUCUGUGGAGAGGGACGAAAACGCUAGUACCUAAUACGGCUAGUCUUGACGGUACCUCUUUAGCAAGCACCGGCUAACUCUGUGCCAGCAGCCGCGGUAAUACAGAGGGUGCAAACGUUGCUCGGAUUUACUGGGCGUAAAGCGCGUGUAGGCGGGUUCGCAAGUCGGUUGUGAAAUCCCUGGGCUCAACCCAGGAACUGCAUCCGAAACUGCGUGCCUAGAGUAGUGGAGAGGAAGGUGGAAUUCCCGGUGUAGAGGUGAAAUUCGUAGAUAUCGGGAGGAACACCAGUGGCGAAGGCGGCUUUCUGGACACUUACUGACGCUGAGACGCGAAAGCGUGGGGAGCAAACAGGAUUAGGUACCCUGGUAGUCCACGCCGUAAACGAUGUGUGCUAGAUGUCGCGGGAUUUGACUUCUGCGGUGUCGUAGCUAACGCGUUAAGCACACCGCCUGGGGAGUACGGCC
rnacentral:rRNA from 1 species